AUUGAACGCUGGCGGCAGGCCUAACACAUGCACGUCGAACGAGUGGCGGACGGGUGAGUAAUGUCCGGGAAACUGCCUGAUGGAGGGGGAUAACUACUGGAAACGGUAGCUAAUACCGCAUACCAUCAGAUUUGCCCAGAUGGGAUUAGCUUGUUGGUGGGGUAACGGCUACCCAAGGCGACGAUCCCUAUCUGGUCUGAGAGGAUGACCAACCACGCUGGGACUGAGACACGGUCCUGAAUCCUACGGGAGUCAGCAGUGGGGAAUAUUGCACAAUGGGCGAUAGCCUGAUGAAGCCAUGCCGCGUGUAUUAAGAAGGCCUUCGAGUUGUAAAGUACUUUCAGCGGGGAAGCGUUACCCGCAGAAGAAGCACCGGCUAACUCCGUGCCAGCAGCCGCGGUAAUAC
rnacentral:rRNA from 1 species